rnacentral:rRNA from 1 species
UACGGAGGGUGCAAGCGUUAUCCGGAUUUACUGGGUUUAAAGGGAGCGUAGGCGGAUUGGUAAGUCAGUGGUGAAAGCCCUCAGCUUAACUGAGGAAUUGCCGUUGAUACUAUCAAUCUUGAAUGUUGUGGAGGUUUGCGGAAUAGGUCAUGUAGCGGUGAAAUGCUUAGAUAUGACCUGGAACACCUAUUGCGAAGGCAGCAGGCUACACAAAUAUUGACGCUGAGGCUCGAAAGCGUGGGGAUCAAACAGG